UACGUAGGGCGCAAGCGUGAUCCGGAAUUAUUGGGCGUAAAGAGCUCGUAGGCGGUUUGUCGCGUCUGCCGUGAAAGUCCGGGGCUCAACUCCGGAUCUGCGGUGGGUACGGGCAGACUAGAGUGAUGUAGGGGAGACUGGAAUUCCUGGUGUAGCGGUGAAAUGCGCAGAUAUCAGGAGGAACACCGAUGGCGAAGGCAGGUCUCUGGGCAUUAACUGACGCUGCGGAGCGAAAGCAUGGGGAGCGAACAGG
rnacentral:rRNA from 1 species